GGCUGUAGCUCAGUUGUAGAGCGCUUGCCUAGCAUGCCUGAGGCACUGGGUUUGAUCCUCAGCAUGACA
rnacentral:tRNA from 1 species